rnacentral:rRNA from 1 species
UGAGGAAUUUUGCGCAAUGGGGGAAACCCUGACGCAGCAACGCCGCGUGAGUGAUGAAGGCCUUCGGGUCGUAAAGCUCUGUCAAGUGGGAAGAACCUGCCUGGUGAUAAUACCAUCGGGCACCGACGGUACCACUGAAGGAAGCACCGGCUAACUCCGUGCCAGCAGCCGCGGUAAUACGGGGGGUGCAAGCGUUAUUCGGAAUCAUUGGGCGUAAAGGGCGCGUAGGCGGUCUUUUAAGUCAGAUGUGAAAGCCCUCGGCUUAACCGAGGAAGUGCAUUUGAUACUAAAAGACUUGAGUAUGGGAGAGGGAAGCGGAAUUCCUGGUGUAGCGGUGAAAUGCGUAGAUAUCAGGAGGAACACCGGUGGCGAAGGCGGCUUCCUGGACCAAUACUGACGCUGAGGCGCGAAGGCGUGGGGAGCAAACAGGAUUAGAUACCCUGGUAGUCCACGCAGUAAACUGUGAACACUAGGUGUAGCGGGUAUUGACCCCCGCUGUGCCGAAGCUAACGCAUUAAGUGUUCCGCCUGGGAAGUACGGCCGCAAGGUUA